rnacentral:rRNA from 1 species
ACAAGCGGUGGAGCUAUGUGGUUAAUUCGAUGAUACGCGAAGAACCUUACCGGGUUUGACAUGCAGGUGAUCGCCGUUGAAAGACGGUUUCCUCUUCGGAGGCACCUGCACAGGUGCUGCAUGGCUGUCGUCAGCUCGUGUCGUGAGAUGUUGGGUUAAGUCCCGCAACGAGCGCAACCCUUGUCAUUAGUUGCUACAUUCAGUUGGGCACUCUAAUGAGACUGCCGGUGACAAGCCGGAGGAAGGUGGGGAUGACGUCAAGUCCUCAUGGCCCUUAUAGGUGGGGCUACACACGUCAUACAAUGGCUGGUACAAAGGGUUGCCAACCCGCGAGGGGGAGCUAAUCCCAUAAAGCCAGUCGUAGUCCGGAUCGUAGUCUGCAACUCGACUACGUGAAGUCGGAAUCGCUAGUAAUCGUGGAUCAGAAUGUCACGGUGAAUACGUUCCCGGGUCUU